AUUUUAUGCUCUGUAAUUGGAAUGAUGGGAAUGUAAAACCCUUCCAGAGUAACAAUUGGAGGGCAAGUCUGGUGCCAGCAGCCGCGGUAAUUCCAGCUCCAAUAGUGUAUAUUAGAGUUGUUGCAGUUAAAAAGCUCGUAGUUGGAUUUCUGCUGUGGUCAUCCGGUACCGCCCGUAUGGGUGCGCACCUGGUUUGGCUCCGGCUUUCUUCCUGUAGCCGUCCGCGCUUAAUUGCGUGUACUGUGUUACGGAACUUUUACUUUGAGAAAAAUAGAGUGUUUCAAGCAGGCUUGUCGCCCUGAAUACUUCAGCAUGGAAUAAUAGGAUAGGACCUUGGUUCUAUUUUGUUGGUUUCUAGGACCAAGGUAAUGAUUAAUAGGGACAGUGGGGGGCAUA
rnacentral:rRNA from 1 species